rnacentral:rRNA from 1 species
GCCUACGGGGGGCAGCAGUGAGGAAUAUUGGUCAAUGGGCGAGAGCCUGAACCAGCCAAGUCGCGUGAGGGAAGACGGUCCUAUGGAUUGUAAACCUCUUUUGCCGGGGAGCAAAAAGCGGUACGUGUACCGCAUCGAGAGUACCCGGAGAAAAAGCAUCGGCUAACUCCGUGCCAGCAGCCGCGGUAAUACGGAGGAUGCGAGCGUUAUCCGGAUUUAUUGGGUUUAAAGGGUGCGCAGGCGGCGCGUUAAGUCAGCGGUAAAAUUUCGGGGCUCAACCCCAACGAGCCGUUGAAACUGGCUUG